CGGCCCACACAUCGCCUCGCCGUCUUUCCCGGUCCCCCGAGCGGCCAAGGGAGAGGAAGCGCCUCCCAGCCGCGGGGGUUUCCGUCCUGUCUGCAGCAGGAGGACGUGAAUGUCACCCAUGUUCCCUCUUAGCAGAAGCCCUCAGUUAAAUUAAAGAGCCCAUAGCUGAUUCAUGCAGAGUCUUCAAUGGAUGUGCUUGUUUCACUGGAGCAUCGGAGUGUCUCCCCCAGCUUCAGCUGCAUCAGUUCAGACUUAUUGUAAGUUAACAGCAGAAUUUCAUGUGAACAUACUUUAUCUAGCCUUCACUGCCUGGGAAUCACACUGCCAAAAGGACAAAUAAGAACAGGAGAGCCAGAGGAGAGCCAGCUGCUGCAUCAGAAGUUUUCCAGAUCAGCCAUGGCCUGGACCCAGAUGACAUACAUCACGACUACCAGCGAAAACAAGACACCUGGAAAAGAAACACCAGGUUUUAACAACAGUGUGAGACAGAUGCUGGAGGAAUGUGGACACUUGAGAAAUGCAAGCCUGCAGAACAGAUGCUCCAGAAGAAGAUUUGCCGGAGGACUGAGGGCACGAGUCUAAAUUUUUUGCAUGCUUCAGCCUGUACCCAUUUGCUCCCUGAGCUCCAGCUGUCACAGCAAAGUUGCAGGACUAAAUACUUGAGAGGCACCACCCCAUCACAUUUUUAUCCCAGAAUGUUUAGGUGCCUCAUUAAAACACAAUUGAGUGCACAGUCCUGGUAACAUUCACUGCCAAACUUGAGGUUACAGGCUGUAACCUCAUAUACUUGCAAUGCAACCUUGAACAAAUGUGACAUUUUUGGCAAAAAGCACAAGUGCACUUGUAAGCACCCAUGGCCAGGCAUUUGCUUCCAUAUCCACAUGUCCUGGUAACCUUUGAUGGUUACCUUUCCCUAUCCCCAACCUGAGAUGCUGCCUCACAACCUCCUUCCCCACCCUUUCUGCCCAUUUACCAGGGAACAGCUGUUGUCCUCACUCCCUCACUUGAUGCAGGCAAGUUAGAUGCAUCAGCUUAACCUGGUGAUCUGAUGAUCUUCCUGCUACUGCUUUAUGGACAAAAUAUAAUAUUUUUACAUACAUUCUGUCAUCCUGACAGGUAAGACCUCAUGGCUCAAUCCUUAUAAACAUCAUCUUUUGAAGACCAACAAAAAAAGGGAUGAGGCAUAAUCAAAACAUUCCCAAAGGAUCUGCAGUUUCUAGGAGGCUGAAAUAAUAGUAGAAAAACUAAAUAAAGAAGGAGGCAGACACAUUUCAUGUCUAUGAAAUACACUUCCAGGAUUACAUUUUUUGCUAAGGUUCAAAUUCCUAACAAAGUUUGAAAAAACCCAACACUCAACUCUAAGAGGCAUAAAUUCAAUUUUGAAAGUAUUUUACCUAAGUAAAACUCAAUUUUGAUGGAAUUUAGUAUUGUGCUUGUAUUAAACAUAAAACCACUGAAACAAUCAGAAAGAAGGAUUGCCUUAAGGCCAGACAAGAAGAAUAAGAAAUUAAAUUGAAAACUCUUCAAAUUGAGCAGAAGAUUCUUAUAACAGAACAUCUAAUGAUAACAGGCAAUAUGGCCAAUACAGGAAAAUUAGAACAAAACAGAGCUAGUAACUUUUGAUUAAAAAAGUAGAAAUUCACAGACACAUUCAUAAAUGGAGUUAUUAGAUAUCUGGAUUUUGUUCAAGGUUUCAAAAUUUGAACAAAAAAAUUAUAGCACUAAGAUUUUGAAAGAUACAUUAAUAAUCUGGCAAAAUCCACAAGGACAUUGGAAUUUACCUCUUCAACUGGCUGUGCCUAUGCAUUUUCAGACUAGUCCUCUAUUUAAUCUCUACAUUGGGGAAAACUUAGUCCAAAACAAUAAUAAUUACAAAAAGUUACUAUAGCAGCAGGUAAGUAUAACCAGGCCUUGCACAUCUGGAAAGCCCUCUGGCAUCCUGGGUGGAAGCAAAGUUAUGUAGAGCAGUUAGUAAAAAAUCUGUCAUUAAAACAAAACUGCAUCAAAGGUGCUUUAAUCUAGAAAUAGGCACCCCUUCUUUUCAGGCACUCUGAAUCAACACCUUGGUGGUUAAACUAGAAUCAACACCACGUAGGUGCAAAAUAGCAAGCCAGGGCUGCCAGCGGUAAAACAACUUCAGGGACUCUAUCAUCCAUCGGGUGUGAUUUCACAGCAAGCUGUUACACCUGUGAGUGGCAAAUUGUCAGGUAUGGAAAUUUUCAGAAGAAAUGUAUGUCAAGCAGAGAUAAAUGUCCUUCCUUGAAAGGGAAGAAAAAGAAAGGAGGAGUAUGUAAAUCCUCUUAGUUAAUUAAGGCACUAAAGGAGUAUUUAAGGGUUCUCAUCACCUGCUAAUGGAGACUAAUUAAUAGGUGUAUUACUUAGCAUGUUCAGUAAAUAUCUUGAACAAUAGACUAAGGCUAAGUAAAAACUGACCAUGUCCUGUUGCCACCAUCAGUAUUUCAUUCAUUAGCACUUCUUUUGUCUAAUUUUCACAGAGUUAUGACUUCACAGGAGUUAAGCGCUUAGACAGUUUACUGAAUGUAUAUUUAUCCUGAGAAAUCUGCUCCUGCAGUCUUGCACUGGCAAUCUAUUGUGAAUGUUUUGAACUCUCAAAGGCAAGCUCCAAGACAAAAUUACUAAGAUUGAAAAAAAUCCCCACAAUUUCUUGAAGCAAAUAUUUUUAUGAACAGUGUGUACUAUGAUAUAUUUCUACUUUUUUGGCAUUUAGACCUUUUUCAUAGAGUGCAGACGUCCUUUUGCCUUUGCCUUUUAGUGAAUGAAAAAUAGAACAGCAGUUGCAUGAAUCAGUAAUGAUGAGGGAAAUUAUUCCUAGAACAUUAAAUAUGUCUGAGAGAGAUUAAGACAAAU